GAGAUUCCCCAGCCUGCCCCUGAGCCCAUGUCCCCCAUUGGCCACCUGUACCCUGCUCUGUGUUACGUGCAUGGGGGGUGGGCUUGCCUGUAUCUGGCCUCCAGCUGCGGACACACGUGGACGAGGGUUUUAGGCAGAGGUCCCUCCUUCCCAGAGGUCUGUUGUCCUGUGGACGCACACUGACCCAGAAGGCUGUCCCGAUGGACCCAGCUGAUGUGCACACAUGGGAGAGAAGCUGGCCCUGGUGCCGGUGUGGGGUGAGGUUAGUGAGGGGUGGGGAUGGCCAACAGCAGGCCCCCCACUGCCUGGGGCCUGGGUUAGGGUUAGCUCUGGGGCGCCCCGAGUACAGCCACCUCGUACUCCUCCUUGAGCAUCUCGGUGACCUUGAAGCUGUGCAUGAGCAGGAAGUGAAAACCAGGGCAGGCACGCAAAUUACUGGAGACUUGAAGGUGUGUCUCCCCGCCCCCAAAGCCCGCUGGCAAAGACUGGGUGAUUUAUUGGUUCCAGGCAUUUUAAUCUCUGUGCACACAUGAACUCACCAUAAAAGUAACUGAAUGGAAACUCAGUGUCUACGCCCAGCACACAUGCCUCACAGAACCUAGUGCAGGAACAUCAUGAAACAAACAGCAACAGCAAGAGCGGGCAACAAAGCCUCGUGGGCAAAGGGCCUGAUUGCCAGUGCCGCCAGGUCAUGUAAUUGAAAAUGUCCAGUUACCAAACUAACAUUUUCAGACAAAGAAUCACGAAUACACGGCCCACACUCGGAGGGACGCAUUCAGCAGCAGCGGUCUUUGAGGGGCCAGACACACUAGAUGAAGAUUUAAAAUCUGAUCAAGAAACCCCAAAGAAUCACGUCUAACAAGUUAAAAGGAAAUAUGAGAAUAGUGUUUUACUAAAUGGAGACUAUGAAGAAAGAGAAAAAACAUUUUUGAAAGAACUAAAUAGGGAUUCUGAAGUUGGAAAGUGCACUAAUGAAAUGAGAAAUUAGCCGUGGGGUUGAGAACAUAUCUGACCCAUCAGAAGAAAGAGUCAGUGAGCAAGCAUGAAGGUCAGUAAUUGGGAUUAUCCUGCCUGAAGAAGACAGAGGAAUCGGUCCUCAGGGGCUUGUGGGAUGCCAUCAACGGCACAACAUGGGUGAGAGGGGCCCCAAGGCAGAGACGAGAGAAAGCACAGAACGAAUAUUUGAAGAAAGAAUGGCCAAAAGUUUACCAAAUUUGAUGAAAAAAAAUCCCCACUAAUGCCCACGUCCAAGGAGCUCCACAAGGUCCAAGAACGGCCCCAAAGAGACGUGCAAGUGGACACAUCAUAGUCAAGCUGUCAAAAGUCAAAGAAAAGCACUCAUCGCGGUGAAAAGUGGCACCUCAUUGCGACGCUUACUUGUGUUACCACCUACUGGGGAGGGUCAACACCUCCUCGUGUGCUUUCUGACACUUGCACAUUUUCCCUGGAGAAGCGUCUGUUCCAGCCCUUGACCCCUCUGAACCGGGCUGGAUAACCUCCGCUGACUUCACAGUCACUGACUCUCUUCUGGUGCCUCAAAUAUGCUGCUGACCUCUUCUGUGAAAUUUCAUUUUGGGAGGGUAGGUCUGCUGACAAACAAAUUCCUUGUUUUUGUUUGAGAAAAUGCAUUUCAUCUCACUUUCAAGGGAUAAUUUCACUUUAUGUGGAAUUCCAGAAAUGGACAAGCUGAUCCUAAAAUUCACAUGGAACUGUGAGGCCAAAACAAUCUUGCAAAGACAGAACAAAGUUAAAGGCUCACACUUCCUGAUUUCCAAAACUUACUAUGAAGCUAUAGAAAUCAAGACAGAAAUCUGUCCUCCUGGCUCGAGGACAGACAUGCAGAUCAACAGAACAGAGUUUAGAGUCAUAACCCUAUACAGCUACGGUGAAUUGAUUUUCAACAACGGCGCCAAGACGCUUCAGGGCAUGGCGCUGAGAUAAUGGAGGUCCACAAGGAAAGGGAGGACGUUGGACCUCUAGCCUACAAACUACACAAAAAUUAACUCAAAAUGGAACUACAAAACUGUUAGAAAUGACGCUGUCAAGGAAGUGAGAAGCCAACCUACAAGAGAGGAGAGCGUUCUUGCGAUUCAUGGAUCUGACAAGGGACUGGUAUUCAGAACACGAGUUGACCACAAUGAGACAAACAGCCAGAUGAGUAAAACAACAGACUUGGCCAGACGUUCUGCAGACACAGGGACAACCAACAGGCGAUGAGAAGGCUCUGGCAGCAUCAUUUACCAAGGAAACCCGCACCGGACCGCAAUGACACACCACAGACAAUGGAAACGCUCUAAUUUUGUUAAGGGAAAAAUAAGUGUCGGUGAGAAUAGGAGAAAUAGAAACUCUCCCACAAUGCUGGUGGAAAUAGUGUGGCAGGUCCUCAGAAAGUUACAUGUGGAGAUCCUGCGUGGCUCAGUCAGUCAGGCGACCAACUCUUGAUUUCAGCUCAGGUCAAAAUCUCAGGGUCCUGAGAUCAAGUCCCAUGUCAGGCUCUGUGCUCAGCAGGGAGUCUGCUUCUCUCCCUCCCUCUGCCCCUCCCCCGCUCAUGGGCCCUCCCUCUCUCUCCUCUCUAAAAUAAAUAAAUAAAUAAAUAAAUAAAUAAAUAAAUAAAUAAAACUCCUCGGAGCACUUUAGAGAAUAAAAACGUGUCCGCACAAAGACUUGCGCACAAAUGUUUCCAACAACAUUAUUCGUAAGAGCCCCCAAAUUGGAAACACCCAAAUGUCCGUAAAUUGAUGAAUGAAUAAGCAAAAUAUAUGACAUCCUUACAAUACAAUACCAAUCAGCCACAGAAAGGGUUGCAGUACUGACCCAUGCUGCAACGUGGACAAGCCACAUAAACAGGAGUUAAGGGAAACAAGGCAAACAGAAGGCCACCUACUGUGGGGGUCUAUUUACAUGAAAUGCCUGACAAAGGGAAAUCCAACUAAACUGGGGGGGGGGCAGGUAGGCUGUUCAAGGGGGCAGGGUUAAGGAAAUGUGGUUUCUGCUUCAUGGGUACCUGGUGUCUUGGAGUGGGGAAAACAUUCAGAGCUACAGGAUGGUGACAGCCACACACACCAAAAAUACGAAAAGCCACAUAAAUUGUACACUUUCCAUGGGUAAAAUGGAAAAUUUUGUGUUUUGCAAAUUUUACAUGAUUAAAAAA